rfam:Hordeum vulgare subsp. vulgare, WGS project CAJW01000000 data, contig: morex_contig_367403
CUUAUUCUCCCUUCGUCCAGAAAUACUUGUCCGGAGAAUGGAUGUAUCUAGAUAUAUUUUAGUUCUAGAUACAUUAAUUUCUAUUCGUUUUUGCGACAAGUAAUUCCGUACGGAGGGAGUAGUUA